CCUACGGGAGGCAGCAGUGAGGAAUAUUGGUCAAUGGGCGUAAGCCUGAACCAGCCAAGUCGCGUGAGGGAUGAAGGUUCUAUGGAUCGUAAACCUCUUUUAUCAGGGAAUAAAGUGUGGGACGUGUCCUAUUUUGUAUGUACCUUAUGAAUAAGGAUCGGCUAACUCCGUGCCAGCAGCCGCGGUAAUACGGAGGAUCCGAGCGUUAUCCGGAUUUAUUGGGUUUAAAGGGUGCGUAGGCGGCCUGUUAAGUCAGCGGUGAAAGUCUGUGGCUCAACCAUAGAAUUGCCGUUGAAACUGGUGUGCUUGAGUAUGUGUGAGGCAGGCGGAAUGCGUGGUGUAGCGGUGAAAUGCUUAGAUAUCACGCAGAACCCCGAUUGCGAAGGCAGCAUGCCAAGCCAUGACUGACGCUGAUGCACGAAAGCGUGGGUAUCGAACAGGAUUAGAUACCCCUGUAGUC
rnacentral:rRNA from 1 species